rnacentral:rRNA from 1 species
GAUGAACGCUGGCGGCGUGCCUAAUACAUGCAAGUCGAGCGAACAGACGAGGAGCUUGCUCCUCUGACGUUAGCGGCGGACGGGUGAGUAACACGUGGAUAACCUACCUAUAAGACUGGGAUAACUUCGGGAAACCGGAGCUAAUACCGGAUAAUAUAUUGAACCGCAUGGUUCAAUAGUGAAAGACGGUUUUGCUGUCACUUAUAGAUGGAUCCGCGCCGCAUUAGCUAGUUGGUAAGGUAACGGCUUACCAAGGCAACGAUGCGUAGCCGACCUGAGAGGGUGAUCGGCCACAAGGGAACUGAGACACGGUCCAGACUCCUACGGGAGGCAGCAGUAGGGAAUCUUCCGCAAUGGGCGAAAGCCUGACGGAGCAACGCCGCGUGAGUGAUGAAGGCCUUCGGAUCGUAAAACUCUGUUAGUAGGGAAGAACAAAUGUGUAAGUAACUAUGCACGUCUUGACGGUACCUAAUCAGAAAGCCACGGCUAACUACGUG